rnacentral:rRNA from 1 species
CAGCAGCCGCGGUAAUACGGAGGAGGCAAGCGUUGUUCGGAAUCACUGGGCUUAAAGCGGGUGUAGGCGGAGUGGAAGGUGUCUUGUGAAAGCCCUCGGCUCAACCGAGGAACUGCAGGGCAAACCGCCACUCUUGAGGCGGGUAGGGGCAAGUGGAACCAUGGGUGGAGCGGUGAAAUGCGUAGAGAUCCAUGGGAACGCCGGUGGCGAAAGCGACUUGCUGGGCCCGUCCUGACGCUGAGACCCGAAAGCGUGGGUAGCAAACAGGAUUAGAUACCCUGGUAGUCCACGCCGUAAACGAUGCGCACUAGGUACGAGGACUCUGACGGUUUUCGUGCCGAAGCAAAAGUGUUAAGUGCGCCGCCUGGGGAGUACGGCCGCAAGGCUAAAACUCAAAGGAAUUGACGGGGGCUCACACAAGCGGUGGAGCAUGUGGAUUAAUUCGAAGCAACGCGAAGAACCCUACCUGGGUUGGAAAAGCACGGAUGCCCUCGCCGAAAGGUGAGUAGGCUGCCUUCGGGUGAAACGUGGUCAGGUGUUGCAUGGCUGUCGUCAGCUCGUGCUGUGAAGUGUCGGGUUAAGUCCCUUAACGAGCGAAACCCCUGUCGCUAGUUGCCAGCGGUUCGGCCGGGGACUCUAGCGAGACCGCCGGCGUUAAGCCGGAGGAAGGUGGGGACGACGUCAAGUCAUCAUGGCCCUUAAGCCCAGGGUGUCACACGUGCUACAAUGGUCGGUACAGAGCGACGCGAUACCGCGAGGUGGAGCAAAUCGCAAAAAACCGGCCCCAGUUCGGAUUGGAGUCUGCAAUUCGACUCCAUGAAGUUGGAAUCGCUAGUAAUCGCGCAUCAGCCACGACGCGGUGAAUGUGUUCCUGAGCCUUGUACACACCGCCCGUCAAGUCAUGGAAGCUGGGAGCGCCCGAAGUCCGUUUAGCUAACCCGCAAGGGGUGCGGCGGCCGACGGUGAGCUCGGUGACUGGGACUAAGUCGUAACAAGGUAACCGUA